GGCGGCAUGCCUUACACAUGCAAGUCGAACGGUAGAGUAGCAAUACUCGAGAGUGGCGAACGGGUGAGUAAUAUAUCGGAACGUGCCCAGUCGUGGGGGAUAACGUAGAGAAAUUUACGCUAAUACCGCAUACGAUCUACGGAUGAAAGCGGGGGAUUCGCAAGAACCUCGCGCGAUUGGAGCGGCUGAUAUCAGAUUAGGUUGUUGGUGAGGUAAAAGCUCACCAAGCCGACGAUCUGUAGCUGGUUUGAGAGAACGACCAGCCACACUGGGACUGAGACACGGCCCAGACUCCUACGGGAGGCAGCAGUGGGGAAUUUUGGACAAUGGGCGCAAGCCUGAUCCAGCCAUUCCGCGUGAGUGAAGAAGGCCUUCGGGUUGUAAAGCUCUUUCGCAAGGGAAGAAAACUUAUCCUCUAACAUAGGAUGAGGUUGACGGUACCUUGAUAAGAAGCACCGGCUAACUACGUGCCAGCAGCCGCGGUAAUACGUAGGGUGCGAGCGUUAAUCGGAAUUACUGGGCGUAAAGCGUGCGCAGGCUGUUUUGUAAGUCAGAUGUGAAAUC
rnacentral:rRNA from 1 species